rnacentral:rRNA from 1 species
GAUGAACGCUGGCGGCGUGCCUAACACAUGUAAGUCGAACGUGAGGGUGCUAGCAAUAGUGCCUGAAAGUGGCGAACGGGUGAGUAACACGUAGAUAACCUACCCUGGAGUGGGGGAUAACCAUUGGAAACGAUGGCUAAUACCGCAUGUGACUCUGCACACGGGAGUGUGGGGAGAGAAAGCUUUAGUGCUCCAGGAGGGUCUGCGCCCGAUUAGCUAGUUGGUGGGGUAAUGGCCUACCAAGGCGAUGAUCGGUAGCUGGUCUGAGAGGAUGAUCAGCCACACGGGAACUGAGACACGGUCCCGACUCCUACGGGAGGCUG